GACGAACGCUGGCGGCGUGCUUAACACAUGCAAGUCGAACGGAAAGGCCUGCUUUCCCUUGUGGAUUGCGGGUACUCGAGUGGCGAACGGGUGAGUAACACGUGAGUGAUCUGCCCCCAACUUGGGCAUAAGCCUGGGAAACUGGGUCUAAUUCCCGAUAGGACUGCAGGGUGGUGCCUGUGGUGGAAAACGAUUUUCUAGUGGUUGGGGAUGAGCUCGCGGCCUAUCAGCUUGUUGGUGGGGUAAUGGCCUACCAAGGCGGCGACGGGUAGCCGGCCUGAGAGGGUGGACGGCCACAUUGGGACUGAGAUACGGCCCAGACUCCUACGGGAGGCAGCAGUGGGGAAUAUUGCACAAUGGGCGGAAGCCUGAUUCAGCGACGCCGCGUGGGGGAUGACGGCCUUCGGGUUGUAAACUCCUUUCGACCGCGAGGAAGCCACCUGGUUGGAAGGGUGGUGACGGUAGCGGUAGAAGAAGCACCGGCUAACUACGUG
rnacentral:rRNA from 1 species